GGGCCCUUUGCCCUAAGUUUUUUUCAAGCAUCUCUUCGCACCGCUUGCCUGCUACACUCUUAUUCUUUCUCGCCUGCCACUCUCUUCUUCCUUCCUCGCCUGUAAUAAGCUGCUGCUACUGUGUGUCUGCCAUUAUCUUCUUCCUUCCUCGCCUGUCACUCUUUUCUUCCUUCCUCACCUGCAACAAGCUGCUGCUACUGUGUACCUGCCACUCUCUUCUUCCUUCCUUGCCUGCAACAAGCAGCUGCUAAUGUACGAAGCCUGAAACCAAUGUCGGCC
rnacentral:lncRNA from 1 species